rnacentral:tRNA from 1 species
GGGGUCAUAGCUCAGUUGGGAGAGCGUCUGGAUGGCAUUCAGAAGGCCAGGGGUUCGAUUCCCCUUGACUCCACCA